AUUGAACGCUGGCGGCAGGCCUAACACAUGCAAGUCGAACGAGUGGCGGACGGGUGAGUAAUGUCUGGGAAACUGCCUCAUGGAGGGGGAUAACUACUGGAACCGGUAGCUAAUACCGCAUACCAUCAGAUGUUCCCAGCUGGGAUUAGCUAGUUGGUGGGGUAACGGCUCACCAAGGCGACGAUCCCUAGCUGGUCUGGUAGGAUGACCAGCGCCACGGGAACUGAGACACGGGCCAGACGCCUCCGGGAGGCAGCGGUGGGGAAUAUUGGACAAUGGGCGCAAGCCUGAUGCAGCCGUGCCGGGGGUAUGAAGAAGGCGUUCGGGUUGUAAAGUACUUUAAGCGGGGAGGCGUUACCCGCAGAAGAAGCGCCGGCUAACUCCGUGCCAGCCGCCGCGGUAAUAC
rnacentral:rRNA from 1 species